CCCACGCUUCUUUUGGAAAUCCGCAGGAACGGGCUGUUUGAUACUUUUUAAUCCCUGCAGAAAUUAAGCACCAUUCACAAACAAUUGUUACGGUAUUAGUUGACGAGAAUCUGUAUCAGAAAUUCUGGUCGCCCUUACAUUGCGUUCUAGUUUUACGCUAAAACUUCCGUAGCAUUACAACCAGUCAUAUCUUACCCCUUCGCCUGAUGUUACACUGAAUUCUUGUUCUUCCCACAAACCAAUGAGAAGCCAUUCUUUAUAUCCGUCAGUGUUACCAGCAUAAUAGCACCAGCCUGACAUUGGAAUCUGAUGGACAGAAUGAGUACUGAUGUCAUAGUUGGGCCCAGUCUUGAAUGACCUCCUCUGGGGCUGCCAUGUGUCCUGGGGGUUUGAGAGGAGUACUCCCACCUAGGAUGUUGCUCGUUCAUUGAAUCAUGGGAAGACAGCUGCCUACAUCCUUAGAAGUGAGCUCCCUCCAAUGGGAGCAUCCUAAUGGAAAAGGAACCUCAGAAGGCAACGCAUGUGGGAUGCACUUUGAAGACAGGAUGACAUCACAGAAAAAGGGCGAGAGCAAGCGCGAGCAUGCCCUGGAGAGUCGCUUUGAUUGGCAGAAUUUAAUAGUUUUCUUUUCUCAAGUCACAGGGAAAAAAAAAAAAUGUGCAUCAUUUUUCUAAAAU